rnacentral:lncRNA from 1 species
UUUUCUUUUGUGUAGAAGUCUUCAAUGAGAACAUUAACACUCCAUUUUAAGCACAUUUACAUGCCCAGUAUUUAUCAGUACAAACUAAAAUGAUCAAUUUUAUGUAUUUUUGAUUUAAACAUGUCAGCAGCAGUGGCUACAGGGGCGUAGUUUAUGGGGGGGGGGGGGAGGUAACCCCCCCAAUAUUUCAACAUGAAAAUCACAGCAGAUCAAAUGAAAAAUAUGUAGAAUUCAUUUAUUUUGUAACAAUAAUUUUGUUCCUAAUCAAAUAUGAGUUUGUCAUAAUAAAUCAGACGAAAAAACUCCCCCUCCAUUGAACCGAUUGGUAACGCCCAACCAACGAGUCGCACUUUCACCAAAACAACGCUACUAUUGGGUUGGGAGAGCACACGGGUAACGUUAGCGCCAAAAAUGAAGAGAAGCGCGGCACAGCGGACUAUAUUUAACUGCUGGUCAGAGAGGGAUGCAAAAAAAUAAAUAAAUAAAAUAAACCAUGCAACAUUACUGAGAAUGAGGUAUGGGGAUAUUGUGUAAUAGCUAGAUACAAACCACAUAUAUUUUAGCUAGCUAAUCCAUUGCAAUGUAUUUAGCUAUAACUAUUAGUAUAACAAGUUAUCAAAGCAGCUGUCUGUUUUGCUAGUUUAUUUUUCAAUAGUGUCCGUAAUUAUCAAUGACAAAAGUAUUCACAUGGGUGUUUGUUUUCUUCCUAAAUUAAUCUGACUUUUGAACGAAUUGGAUGAAUGAAUAAGUUGCUUACUUAUUAAAACUUUCAAUACUUAAUUUCUUUCUUUUGCUAAUCUCUACUAAGUAAGAAUUUUAUGAAUGAUGAUUAUACACACAUUCCAUAACGUUAUGAGGUGUAUAAUCUCUAAACAUGUUUUUAUAAUAGAUUCGAGGUAAAUAUAGCAGCAGGGUAGAAAAGUCAGCAGAGGGACUUUGUAAAGUUAGGCUAUACAUUAAUGCCUUUAAUGUUUUAAAGACUCCAGUAAACAGCUGUAUACUAAAUCAAGUUCAUAAAGCUGUCAAGAAACCAUUUUUUCAUUCCGGCUUUUCUCUCACAGUGAAGAACAGGGAGAACACAACAGACAGGCAGCUCUUUCAGAUAAGCGGAUGA